rnacentral:tRNA from 2 species
GCGGGAGUGGCUCAGUGGUAGAGCACUUCCUUGCCAAGGAAGAUGUCGCGGGUUCGAAUCCCGUCUCCCGCU